GUUGAACGCUGGCGGCAGGCCUAACACAUGCAAGUCGAGCGGAUGAAGGGAGCUUGCUCCUGGAUUCAGCGGCGGACGGGUGAGUAAUGCCUAGGAAUCUGCCUGGUAGUGGGGGAUAACGUCCGGAAACGGGCGCUAAUACCGCAUACGUCCUGAGGGAGAAAGUGGGGGAUCUUCGGACCUCACGCUAUCAGAUGAGCCUAGGUCGGAUUAGCCAGUUGGUGGGGUAAAGGCAUACCAAGGCGACGAUCCGUAACUGGUCUGAGAGGAUGAUCAGUCACACUGGAACUGAGACACGGUCCAGACUCCUACGGGAGGCAGCAGUGGGGAAUAUUGGACAAUGGGCGAAAGCCUGAUCCAGCCAUGCCGCGUGUGUGAAGAAGGUCUUCGGAUUGUAAAGCACUUUAAGUUGGGAGGAAGGGCAGUAAGUUAAUACCUUGCUGUUUUGACGUUACCAGCAGAAUAAGCACCGGCUAACUUUGUG
rnacentral:rRNA from 1 species